AUUGAACGCUGGCGGCAGGCCUAACACAUGCAAGUCGAACGGUAACAGGAAGACGCUUGCUUCUUUGCUGACGAGUGGCGGACGGGUGAGUAAUGUCUGGGAAACUGCCUGAUGGAGGGGGAUAACUACUGGAAACGGUAGCUAAUACCGCAUAACGUCGCAAGACCAAAGAGGGGGACCUUCGGGCCUCUUGCCAUCGGAUGUGCCCAGAUGGGAUUAGCUAGUAGGUGGGGUAACGGCUCACCUAGGCGACGAUCCCUAGCUGGUCUGAGAGGAUGACCGGCCACACGGAACCUGGGACACGUCCAGACUCCUACGGGAGGCAGCAGUGGGGAAUAUUGCACAAUGGGCGCAAGCCUGAUGCAGCCAUGCCGCGUGUAUGAAGAAGGCCUUCGGGUUGUAAAGUACUUUCAGCGGGGAGGAAGGGAGUAAAGUUAAUACCUUUACUCAUUGACGUUACCCGCAGAAGAAGCACCGGCUAACUCCGUG
rnacentral:rRNA from 1 species